rnacentral:rRNA from 1 species
CCCUUAGAUGUUCUGGGCCGCACGCGCGCUACACUGACGGAGGCAGCGAGCGUGUCCUUCGCCGGCAGGUGCGGGCAAUCUUGCGAGUCUCCGUCGUGCUGGGGAUAGAUGGUUGCAAUUGUCGAUCUUGAACGAGGAAUUCCUAGUAAGCGCGAGUCAUCAACUUGCAUUGAUUACGUCCCUGCCCUUUGUACACACCGCCCGUCGCUACUACCGAUUGGAUGGCUUAGUGAGGUUGAGGGAUUGCGCUUUCGUGUUGCAUUGCUUCACGGAAAUGCGAGAACUCCAUCAAACUUGACCAUCUAGAGGAAGUAAAAGUCGUAACA